rnacentral:lncRNA from 1 species
AGCUCCUCCUAGUCCACCAGCCGGCCUCUCAUUUGUCUCUGUCUGUCUCUCGUUCCCUUAUCUCUUCACGCUCGGCAACGGCGGCGGCGGACGUAUGCUGCUCGGCGCUCCCGCAAGCAACGUGGCGACCGGCGAGGGCCGACCUCCCGCCUCCCGGCUUCAGGAUUCAGCGCGAAUCGAAUGCCACAGAGGCACGACGGCGCUUAGCGAGUCGAAGCCCGGCGGAGCUGCGAUGCUCCUCGAGCGGGAGCCGAACGGAGCGGCGGCGCUCGGCGAGCCUGUAGCGGACCCUUCACGAGGGCGACGAGUUGGCUCCUCUCACACGAGUAAGUUUUCAUUGUUCGUUCCUUUGCCUUGACCUUGAUAACUACCUGGCGAAGACGAGUGAGGAUUGGGAGGAGAGGAAGCCAGGAAGGCAUGAUUCAAGGACGAGGACGCGAGACGGUGGAUGCGCUCCGAAAUGGACGGCGAUGCUUGGCGAUGGCGACGACGCCUCAACAGGAGACUUCGACCGAAUCAGGAGCGGCGAGAGACCGCGCCGUCGCUAGUUCUGCGCGGUCCGGUGAGGAUAGCGUGGCGGAUUCCGACGAGUACGACGCGCGGAGUCCUUGCGCCGGCGGCACGGCGGAAGAGCAAGCAAAAAGUGAAACUGCUUUCGAAAAUGGGGGAGGAACGAGACAAAGAGCAACGGCAAAAAUAAUUAAUGCAGGUGCGGCCGGUCGGGGGUAUAGAUGGUUAAACAGGCGGCCCGGCCCACGAGCCUGAUUAGGCCCGGCCUGUUUAGGCCCGCACCGUAAUCGUGCUAGGCCGAGCCAGCCCACGUGUCGAAGGAGCAGCCAGGCCCAGCAUGCUGCCUUCUUAGGCAAGCCGUGCUGGCCCGCUAGCCCGGUAGGCCUUAAUAGGCU